rnacentral:rRNA from 1 species
GAUGAACGCUGGCGGCGUGCCUAAUACAUGCAAGUCGAGCGAACGGACGAGACGCUUGCUUCUCUGAUGUUAGCGGCGGACGGGUGAGUAACACGUGGAUACCCUACCUAUCAGACUGGGAUAACUUCGGGAAACCGGAGCUAAUACCGGAUAAUAUUUUGAACCUCAUGGUUCAAAAGUAAAAGACGGUCUUGCUGUCACUUAUAGCUGGAUCCGCGCUGCAUUAGCUAGUUGGUAAGGUAACGGCUUACCAAGGCAACGAUGCAUAGCCGACCUGAGAGGGUGAUCGGCCACACUGGAACUGAGACACGGUCCAGACUCCUACGGGAGGCAGCAGUAGGGAAUCUUCCGCAAUGGGCGAAAGCCUGACGGAGCAACGCCGCGUGAGUGAUGAAGGUCUUCGGAUCGUAAAACUCUGUUAUUAGGGAAGAACAGAUGUGUAAGUAACUGUGCACAUCGUGACGGUACCUAAUCAGAAAGCCACGGCUAACUACGUG